rnacentral:sRNA from 1 species
GCCGUGAGGUGUUGCCUUAAGUGGCGCAACGAGCGCAACCCCUGUCCCUAGUUGCCAGCGGGUCAUGCCGGGAACUCUAGGGAGACUGCCGGUGCCAAACCGGAGGAAGGUGGGGAUGACGUCAAGUCAUCAUGCCCCUUAAGUCCAGGGCUGCACACAUGCUACAAUGCGCGGUACAGAGGGCUGCGAUCCCGCAAGGGGGAGCGAAUCCCAAAAAGCCGCGCUCAGUUCGGAUCGGGGUCUGCAACCCGACCCCGUGAAGUCGGAGUCGCUAGUAAUCGCAGAUCAGCAACGCUGCGGUGAAUACGUUCCCGGGCCUUGUACACACCGCCCGUCACACCACGAAAGUGGGCAACACCCGAAGCCGGUGGCCCAACCCUUUGGGAGGGAGCCGUCGAAGGUGGGGCUCGCGAUUGGGGUGAAGUCGUAACAAGGUAGCCGUACCGGAAGGUGCGGCUGGAUCACCUCCUUUCUAAGGAGUCCUGGCAACCGCCAUCCGUGGCGGAAGCAAGGUCGAUCACUGGCUAUUCGGCCGAGCACGCUCGAUCUCUCAACCAAGUACGACCCUCGGGUCGGAACGGAAGAGGGGCGUCGCGUUCGGCCCGGCACACUAUUCAGCUCUGGAGGUGCGAGCCUCCGAGCACCUUGAGAACUCGAUAGCGAGCGCGAGCAUCUAUCUGCCAAGUUACUAAGGGCUCACGGUGGAUGCCUUGGCGCCAGGAGCCGAUGAAGGACGCGUCAGGCUGCGAAAAGCUCCGGGGAGCCGCCGAGAAGGCUGAGAUCCGGAGGUGU